GAGCCGGUGGCGCAGAGGGCUCGGGCUGGAGGAUCGGCGGGACGCGAAGUUUGGGGAAGAGGAGGGGUUCAGUGAAUUCCUCCCGCCGCCGUCUGCGCCCUCGGAGGGGCUGCGGUGCUCCAGCCGCGGGGGCUCAGGCCGGAGGGGCCCCGGAGGGCCCUUGAGCGGGGACGGUGCUGCCACCGGCUGCUCGUCCUUGGGAAUGUGGUUCGCAGAUUCGGGUGACCCCUGGGCCCUGCUGGAGCCCCGGCAGAGUAGCAGGCGGCAGAGACUUGUGCUCACUGCCGCAGGGGGAGUGGGGGUUCCCGGGUCGCGGACGCGGACGCGGAGGGCGGAGGAGACCAAGGGACGGUCCACGGAGCCUAGGCUCCGAGCUCCGCGCGGCCCUGGUCAGAGGAAAGCCAGAAGCGCGUGGCCCAAUCACCCCUCGCCCGGGUGGGCCCUUAGAACACCUUUGCGUCCGUCGGCGGCCUCGCGUCGGGUCCUGAGCCCCUCUCGGGCCUCACUCUCCCGGUGGGCCACCCGACUUCUGGGGCCAGCCUGGGAGCUCUGCCUGGCACGCGGGCUGCACUGCCGGCCGGGAAGAGAGGCAAGCGCUGCCCUGGGAGGCAGGCGAAGCCACCUGUCGGCGCGUCUGAGUCGCCAGGCUCGGCAGGGCACCUGGACCCGGACGGGGGCAUCCGAGGUCCUCGCUGCGCGGAAGACGAUUGGAGGGUGCGGCGCCCAGGUUGAGCAGCAUUGAUGGGCUGGGGAAUUGUCCCCGGAUAGUCUCGGAAGUACGGGAUUAAUUUUAAAAUACCCUAAGAUCUAAAAAUCGUUGUACCUUCUAAUGGUAGUUUAAUAUUCACAGGUGGACUUAAUAACCAAGUAUCUCCGUGUUUUCAGUGAAAACACUGAGCCCUAAACAUUUUCCCAGCAACUUGAGGCUUUGUUUAUAAAAGGGUAUUUUUGAGAAAUCACUGUCUGCUUCAGACCCAGCCUUCCCUACUCCAGCUAAUAUAGUAUUUUUAAAGGGGAAAUAUCUGAGUUGUUAUUCCACUAAUUAACAAACAUUACAUCUUUCAACCCCAGCAUAAGUCCCUGGAAUUUCAAUCCUUCCUUUACCAAACCUAGUUUCUGUACGGGUUAGUUCGCGUCAGACCCGUGACAGCCCCUAGCAUUCUGUUGGGUAUUGAAAGGUCUUGUGGAACUGAGGAUGUAUGAAGAAUUUUCUAAAGCUCACUAUUAACCAACUGGGGAAGAUGUCUAUGUAAUUUAAUGACUAUUUACCCUAAAAACAAGAAUGCUGGUGUCAAUGUUUUAUUUUUGUUUUGGUUUUAUAUUAUGGAGGGAGAAAAGUCUGACAUAUCAUUUUCUCCAAGAUAUUAUUACGAACAGUCGUUAGAAAUAUCUUCUACCAGGAGAUGGGGAGGAGGGUUAGAGCACCAUCUACCCGGAACAUGCCUUGCUAUCAAUGGCAGCCAAAGCAAGUUCCCCACUGAGGCUUUUGGAAGCCCCCUAGAGUGAUUUUGUUUCAAGACGGUGUAAUUUGAAAUAUCAGUUUCAUUAGCUUAUUUUCUCUCAUCUGGAGCUUACUAAGCGAAUACUAAAACUUAAAGCAAAAACAAAACAAAACAAAAAACCUUGAGACAAAUCUUAAAGAAUUGUUUAUGCUGAAGAAAGAAACUACUGCCACCUACUGGACAAGUGUAGUACUUACCGCAGCCUCUGACCUAGGAAAAGAUUUUUUUUUUAGCUAUUUUUGAGAAAACAAAGAUGAACAUGGUAGGAGUUACCAGUCCUUCUUGUUUUUUGUGGGUUUCCAGUACUAGUGAUUUCCCUUGCCUCCUGAUCUUCUCCCUGAUAGGAAAGGGAGCGUAGAUAAAACCCAGGGAUGUUGCUUCACUGUUUCUCAGAGAAUGCAGUCAGGACUCUGAAGGAAGGAAAGGAAUACUAUGAGCUAAAUAUAUAUUUUUUGUAUUAAAUGUAGAUUUUUCCUAUGUGAACCUGCACCCAGUUUUUAUCGAUAAUUAAGAAGUGGCUAACAAGUACUACGUAUCCACAUCACUUAGAAAGGAAUAAAAAUAUGGGAUAAAGGAGAUUACUUUUUUAUUAGGUCUGUGUUCACUAUUCCUAUUUAUUCAUUUGAAAAAUACCUAUUGUUAACCUACUUUGUGCCAGGCACUGGACUAGGCAGUGACUCCACCAGGUACAAGUACUGAGUUCACAGUGGUGUACCAACUUAAAGAUUCUCUGUAUUCACAAGAUGGGUCAGGUUAUCAAAUUAACAUUCUCAACAUCAUUUUGCUUUCCUCCUCCCUAAAACCUGGGAAGGAAAGAAAUUGAUGUUUGCACAGUUUUGGUCAUAUAACUCAAAUGUUUCAAAAAUGAGUAAUUCCAUAUAAAUCCAUGCUGUGUUUAUAAAUCACUGCUUAAGAAGAUGUCUAUUGUUUGUAUUAAUAAGGCAUAUCAAGGACCUCUUGUCUGUAUAUUUUAAAUUCCUAUUUCUUCUCUCAGCAGUAAGAUAAAACAAGAAAAACAAAUGCAUUGGAUUUUGAGACAGUAGAGCAGCUAAUCUUUACUUACUUGCUAUAUGAAUUAGCAAAAGUAUUAAAACUACUAAAAGCUCCAUACAAAGGUAAAUGACAGUGGGUAAUUACCAUUCUUUCAAUCAUUCAGUAAAUAUAUAUUAAGCAUUUAUUCUGUGUUAGGUCCUCAAGAUAAAAUGUUGAAGAUCAAUGGUGUUUUCUAUCUAAUAUAAAAGCCCACGUGUGUAUAAUUUAUAUUUAAUAUAUAAGUACACAGAUUUCCCUAUGUACGUGGACUUACAUACACAGAGCAUGCCUAUGAAAUCUUUCUUAAGCCAAAAUGGUGUAAAAUAAAGAAGCAAUUACCAUUAAUUUACAUGCAAAAUUUUUUGGACAUUCCAAAAAUCAAAAAGUAAUCUCUCAGGCUUUUCUGAUACCUUAGGACACAUCUUGCUAACGGAUGCACAGAACAAAUCAAGAUACAGCACAGAUGCUCAACAGUUCAUAGCUACCACUUGACGCUGAGUGUAGUUCCCAGGGAAGGAGCUUCGCAGCGCUACUCUUGCUGCUCAGGGAGGCUUGCAAAAAGAUAAGACCUGGUGAAUUUGCUAAGAUUUUAAGCUCCACCAGAGCCAAGACUGGGUCUGCCUUACUCAUCCCUAAUACCCUCAAGGAUUUUCAUGGGCCCUACCACCCAGAAGUGCACAGUGAAUACUGGUGAACUGAAUGAGUUUCAGGUUGGAAGGUACCAGGUCCAAUGCCCCAUCCUGUACUUACAUAUUCUCUAACAGUGUUUUGAGACCCAAUCCAUGGACUAGUGCCCCAUCUGUGAGCAUGUUUUUACCUAAACUGCAGCAAAAUAAGACUAACAAGAACAACAUUUUUUUCACUAUUCUAAAUUAUUCAAUUUAGAGGGCUUCACUCUGAGAUU